UACAGAGGGUGCAAACGUUGCUCGGAAUCAUUGGGCGUAAAGCGCACGUAGGCGGCCUAGCAAGUAGGGAGUGAAAGCCCUCGGCUUAACCGAGGAAGUGCUUUUCUAAACUACUAGGCUUGAAUACUGGAGAGGGUCGCGGAAUUCCCGGUGUAGAGGUGAAAUUCGUAGAUAUCGGGAGGAACACCAGUGGCGAAGGCGGCGACCUGGACAGAUAUUGACGCUGAGGUGCGAAAGCGUGGGGAGCAAACAGG
rnacentral:rRNA from 1 species